GAAAUGCGAUAAGUAGUGUGAAUUGCAGAAUUCAGUGAAUCAUCGAAUCUUUGAACGCACAUUGCGCCCCUCGGUAUUCCGUGGGGCAUGCCUGUUCGAGCGUCAUCUACACCCUCAGCUCUGCUUGGUGUUGGGCGUCUGUCCCGCCUCCUUCGCGCGCGGACUCGCCCCAAAUCCAUUGGCGGCGGCCCUUGCCUCCCUCUCGCGCAGCACAUUGCGCUUCUCGAGGCGCGGCGGACCGCGUCCAGCAAGCAACCGUCACACCGUCUUUGACCUCGGAUCAGGUAGGGAUACCCGCUGAACUUAAGC
rnacentral:misc_RNA from 1 species